CGAGGUGCGGGUGCUAUAAUGCAGUCGAGCGGACAGAUGGGAGCUUGCUCCCUGAUGUUAGCGGCGGACGGGUGAGUAACACGUGGGUAACCUGCCUGUAAGACUGGGAUAACUCCGGGAAACCGGGGCUAAUACCGGAUGCUUGAUUGAACCGCAGGUUCAAUUAUAAAAGGUGGCUUUUAGCUACCACUUACAGAUGGACCCGCGGCGCAUUAGCUAGUUGGUGAGGUAACGGCUCACCAAGGCAACAAUGCGUAGCCAACCUGAGAGGGUGAUCGGCCACACUGGGACUGAAACACGGCCCAAACUCCUACGGGAGGCAGCAGUAGGGAAUCUUCCGCAAUGGACAAAAGUCUGACGGAGCAACGCCGCGUGAGUGAUGAAGGUUUUCGGAUCGUAAAACUCUGUUGUUAGGGAAAAACAAGUACCGUUCAAAUAGGGCGGUACCUUGACGGUACCUAACCAAAAAGCCACGGCUAACUACGUGCCAGCAGCCGCGGUAAUACGUAGGUGGCAAGCGUUGUCCGGAAUUAUUGGGCGUAAAGCGCGCGCAGGCGGUUUCUUAAGUCUGAUGUGAAAGCCCCCGGCUCAACCGGGGAGGGUCAUUGGAAACUGGGGAACUUGAGUGCAGAAAAGGAGAGUGGAAUUCCACGUGUAGCGGUGAAAUGCGUAGAGAUGUGGAGGAACACCAGUGGCGAAGGCGACUCUCUGGUCUGUAACUGACGCUGAGGCGCGAAAGCGUGGGGAGCGAACAGGAUUAGAUACCCUGGUAGUCCACGCCGUAAACGAUGAGUGCUAAGUGUUAGAGGGUUUCCGCCCUUUAGUGCUGCAGCAAACGCAUUAAGCACUCCGCCUGGGGGAGUACGGUCGCAAGACUAAAACUCAAAUGAAUUGACGGGGGCCCGCACAAGCGGUGGAGCAUGUGGUUUAAUUCGAUGCAACGCGAAGAACCUUACCUGGUCUUGACAUAGUAAGAACUUUCCAGAGAUGGAUUGGUGCCUUCGGGAACUUACAUACAGGUGCUGCAUGGCUGUCGUCAGCUCGUGUCGUGAGAUGUUGGGUUAAGUCCCGCAACGAGCGCAACCCUUUUCCUUAUUUGCCAGCGGGUUAAGCCGGGAACUUUAAGGAUACUGCCAGUGACAAACUGGAGGAAGGCGGGGACGACGUCAAGUCAUCAUGGCCCUUACGACCAGGGCUACACACGUGCUACAAUGGUCGGUACAAAGGGUUGCUACCUCGCGAGAGGAUGCUAAUCUCAAAAAGCCGAUCGUAGUCCGGAUUGGAGUCUGCAACUCGACUCCAUGAAGUCGGAAUCGCUAGUAAUCGCGGAUCAGAAUGCCGCGGUGAAUACGUUCCCGGGCCUUGUACACACCGCCCGUCACACCAUGGGAGUUUGUUGCACCAGAAGUAGGUAGUCUAACCGUUAAGGAGGACGCUACCACGGUUGCAGAGUUCCC
rnacentral:rRNA from 1 species